rnacentral:lncRNA from 1 species
GCUGCAAGGAAAUCUGGCGCGGUUCAAUACCUCGUCUAGCCUGGGUUCCAGUAUCUAAUUUUUUUUUUGUUUUAACUGACAAACUCAUUUCUCUACUGGGACAGGAUGCUGUGCUGGCUGGAAGUUCCAUUUCUACAGCAAGAAUCCUAUCUGGAAACACAGAAGUUGUCCUCUAGCCACAGCAGCUCGAACUUUUUUGAUUGUCGUUGCUGCUUUCUCCCAUCACCCCCAUCCCCUUUUGACAAAGAUCCAACUGUAAAAAGUCUUACGUAACAGUUCAGGACUACUUCGGUUCUUUUACUGGAGACGGGGCUCCCUAUGUUGCCCAGGCUGGUCUCAAACUCCUGAUCCUGGGCUCAAAUGAUCCUCCCGCUUUGGCCUCCCAAAGUGCUGGAAUUACAGGCAUGAGCCAUCAUGCCCUGCCAACUUCUAUUCAAAGGCCACAUGAUCCAAGGAGAAUUGACCCUAACUUUGUUGUAAAUUGGGAUCAACAACAGCACCUACCUUAUGGGGAUGUCAAAAGAAUUAAAUGAGACCAGGUACAGUGGUGCAUGCCUGUAAUCCCAGCACUUUGGGAAGCCGAAGCAGGAGGAUCGCUUGAGCCCAGGAGUCGGAGACCAGCCUGGGCAACAUGGUGAAACCCUAUCUCUACCAAAAAAAUACAAAAGUUAGCCAGGUGUGGUGGUGUAUGCCUGUAAUCCCACCUACUUGGGAGGCUGAGGUAGAGAUCACCUGAGCUUAGGAGGUCGAGGAUGCAGUGAGCCAUGAUCGUGCCACUACACUCCAGCCUGGGCAACAGAGUGAGACCAGGUCUCAAAAAAUAAAGAAUUAAAUGACACAGUGAAUAUAAAGGCUUUGCACAGUAC